rnacentral:lncRNA from 1 species
CUCCCAUCCGCACAGCCCAGCACAUACACAUCCAAAAAGCCUUUAGGAGAGCUAAGAGGGGACCAGCAGGAAGCCUUGGAGCUGUGAGACAUUCCCAUAUGAGGAGAGAAUAUGCAGUGGGACUCCUGGCAGGCCGUGAGAUGACAAAGCAGGAGAGCCAGGUCUGUGGGUUUACCAGCAGCCAACCACCACAACCAGCUGCACGGCUGGGCCCAGGAGCACCAGGCUGAAUGCACACAACCCAGCAAUGAGCUGUGGGCCUCAUUAAAACGUCCUCUUGGGAGAAGCCAGGCAGAGUCAGGUGUCAGCCAUGUUUCAUGUGGAAAAGUCCGCCUGCUAUUUGGGAGCGUUGUUUGUUCAAACACAGGACAGGAGGCUCUUGGGUCAACUUCCUGCAGCACCGCCACGAACAAAGCUGAUGGUCCCACCCAGCCUCCAUUCUCUAUGCAAGGAAUGGGAGAGGUGAGCACAUGGCAGCCGUUACCAUCCAGGCAGUGCCCCCAGUGAGAGGCCCGGAGGAUUCCGCAUAACUCAAGCAGUGAGAGCUUCAAGACGGGCUCUGCGUUUGCUCUUUUUGUGACCUUUCCGAGUCCUUUUCCUCAGGCUGGCAGCAGCUGGUCCGGCAAUUAUUUAUGAACGAGAGCGGAGCUUUUCCAGCUGAAGGUGGUUGCUGUGGGCAGAUGCCAAUGCAAUACAUGGGCACAUCCCAGCUGCUUGCAGGCUCUGAGCUCCAACAGAUAUGUAUGUUAACAGAUACAGACACACGUGUGAUUGUCAUCUUGCCAUCUCUGAAACCAAUGGCUUCAGCUUCUGGCCCAGCUUCCUAAGGGAAGAAGAGCAAGUGCAGUCAUGAAAUCAUCUGCUUCCUACUAAUAUUUUCUAAACUCCUUGGUCCUUUUGGCCAAGUACAACGAAACCAUUUGGUUGUUAAGUUCUUAUAAUUUUAUGAAAACACAUGAUGAGCAGAGCGGGGAGAUGGAAUAAGAAAUGUCUUGUUAGUCCCUUCUGAAUGAAAGGACACAGCAUGACAUUACAACAUAUUAAACACUAGGGAAUGAGAGAGAAAGAUUACGAUUGCCCCAGCUGAAUGGAAAUUUGCAAUCAGAGUCUGCGACUUAAAGGCACUGGAGAAUCCCAGUAAGCGAUAGAAAGCCAUAGAAAAAAUGCUCCAUUUCAUCCGCUGUUCAUGGCGCAUCAACUCUCAUGCUAUGGUUGAAGGAUAAAAAUGUCUUCUGGAAAUUUCACGGAGGACAGCGUGAGGCCAAGAGCACAGGAGGGUAAGUGUAAUUAUCUUGGUCAGCUCCUCUGGUAAGCACUCAGCUGAUUCAGAUUGGAGUACCUCCAUUAAAUCUGCAGUUUUACACCUG